CACGUAGGGGGCGAGCGUUGUCCGGAUUUAUUGGGCGUAAAGAGCUCGUAGGCGGCUCAGUAAGUCAGGUGUGAAAACUCCAGGCUCAACCUGGAGACGCCACCUGAUACUGCUGUGGCUAGAGUCCGGUAGGGGAGCAUGGAAUUCCCGGUGUAGCGGUGAAAUGCGCAGAUAUCGGGAGGAACACCAGCGGCGAAGGCGGCACUCUGGGCUGGAACUGACGCUGAGGAGCGAAAGCGUGGGUAGCAAACAGG
rnacentral:rRNA from 1 species